UACGUAGGGGGCUAGCGUUGUCCGGAAUCAUUGGGCGUAAAGCGCGCGUAGGCGGCCCAGUAAGUCCGUUGUAAAAGUCAAAGGCUCAACCUUUGAAAGCCGAUGGAUACUGCUGGGCUAGAGUCCGGAAGAGGCGAGUGGAAUUCCUGGUGUAGCGGUGGAAUGCGCAGAUAUCAGGAGGAACACCGGUGGCGAAGGCGGGUCUCUGGGCCGAUACUGACGCUGAGGAGCGAAAGCUAGGGGAGCAAACGGG
rnacentral:rRNA from 1 species